ensembl:lncRNA
GCUGUCAUGUCUGCAUUAAACUGUUUCUUUCUGUAAAUCUCACCACAGUUGUAAUCACAACAGGGCAGAGGGCAGAAUGUCACAGAACCUUCAGGUCUGAUGUUGAUGGAAGAAAGAGUAAUUGGGUACAACAGAGCAACCAAACAUACUGUUUCCUUCUGAAAAAUACAUUUAAAUCAGGAAUAGCCAUAAAAGAGGUGGAUAGGAAGUUUUGUAGCUGUGCUAUACUCUGAAAACAACAGCAGCUACCACGGGUUUCCUAGCCCAGUGCAAGCAGCUGACAUCUGAAGUAGUUAUGAAAGGUAAACACUGAAGCAAAAAACCUUUGUGAGUCAUGUGGGGACAACCUUGCUUCUUUCCUUCCUCUAUCUGGCUGCACUGUUUGGAGGAUGAUGCAGCAAAAGAUCGCAGCGUUCUGUCAGGAGGCAGAGAGAGGGAUGGCUGCUGUGCUGUCAGCCUGAACAGAUGCAGUGUUAUGAAAGGCUGUGUUCUCUAUCCACCUGGAUAUUGCAGGACAGGGCGGAUAUUCUGGAUAGGAAGCUAUUUCUAAACAGGCGUUACUCUCUCUCACAGACUAAUUGUUUGCUAACCUCUCAAGUGUGAGCUUCUGAAAGUUUUACCUUUAGCUGAGCCUUUCAAAAGUAACACGCCACUUCUUGAGAGAAACGACAGCUUUACUGCUUCCCAGAGCUCCCUCUCGUGGCGUUUUCCACACACUUCAUCCUCCGUGAGCAAUAAAACAGUUUAUCGUGUGGUUGAAAAAUCAAUGCUAUAAACGCAAGAUCACAAAGCACAGGCAAAAACCCAUUUUCCUUCCAAUACCAUAAAAUUCUGCUUUUAUGCUGAGCUUAACAAUAAGAAAUUUCAUACGUUUCUUUUGACUUUAUAUAUACUAAUAAAACUGAAUGAGU